GGAAGACUCAUCGAAAACUACCGUCGGAGUCUAUUCCAGUAAAGAUCAUGAUGCAAGGAAGUGAAGAUCAUGCAGAGAGACUUUCUUGGAAGGGAAAAGAGAAUGUGGGUGGCCAGAGUCCCAUUUUUCAUCAAGAAGUCGGAAAACCCGCAAGGAACAACUCUACGCGUGAUCUGUGAAGAAGUUUGGCCGAGACCUCAACCCGAAGGCGGAGAUCCGAGAGUCGUCCAAAAACGGGACCUAAUUUAGAGAAAUCAGUAUUUUUGGACACCUC